UGGCACAAAAUGAAAGUCAGAGAUUAAUGCACGAGUGCGUUUUUGUUUUUGAAGGUACAAAGAGUAACCGCUAGGAAGUUUCAGAACGCACUCUCCAAUUAAACAUGGUGCUGUGAAUUUGCAAGUUGUUGACACAUCAACAAGAAUAAAAUAGAAAAUGCCGAAUAUUCCUCAGAGGUGGUUGUCGUACAUCCCGAUGGGUGAGCGUAUUCCAGGGACCAGGUUCAUUUCCUUCAAAGCGCCAUUGAAACAUGCCCUGUGUCAUAUUCUUCAGGAUGAAGAUCGUUUCACACCUGAGAUGGUGAUGGAGCGGUGUCCAAACCUGGGACUUGUAGUUGACCUGACCAACACCAAUCGCUAUUACAACGGCCAGAUUUUCAGAUCCAGAGGAAUUCAGUACAAGAAAAUAUAUUGUCCUGGCCAGAGGGUUCCUUCAACCAGGAUACUUAAAGAGUUCUUCAGCGCUGUGGACGCCUUCCUGGACGAGUCACGUGACUCCGAUUCGCUCAUGGGGGUCCACUGUACCCACGGCUUGAACCGAACGGGAUACUUCAUCUGCAGGUACCUGAACCUUCGAAUGGGAUUUCGUCCGCAGGAUGCCAUUUCCGCGUUUGAGAAAGCCAGAGGACACAAGAUUGAACGACAGAACUAUGUACAGGACAUUCUGUCUGGCAGGGGUGUACAAGUGGAGCCCCAUCGGUUGUAUGAAGGUGGCGAACCGAGUCCUCGCCGAAGCCGCGUGUCUUCUUCCCGUGACAGCCUCGUGUUCCAGUCGCCACUCGCCGACACUUUUCAAGACUAUCCAGUUUGUAGAAGGAGCCGAGGGUACGAAGGCGCUCGCCACCGACGCCAGGAAAGUGAUUCGCUGUCCCCGAACAAACACAGAGACCGGCGUGCCGAAAGGUACAGGCGUCCCGCUGACAGUGACCGAAGAAACCGCUCACAAAGCGGCCCUUAUUAAGGACAGGCCGAAGGAUGUCCCUGCCUCGACUCUCCGUGCUCGCCCCUUGAACAGAGACGAUUUCUGUACUUCGUCUCGCACGAGUGCUUGCACACUUUAUGAGGACCAGAUAAUGGAGGCAGUACGCACCUCUGCAAACGUCUGCCAGACUGCACGGCUCAGCUUUCCGGAAGACAGUAUUUUCAUGCCCCAGAUUUUGCCCUCACAUUUCGGUCUCUGACACCCGUUAGUCUCAGAGUGAGAGACCAAGUUUCACACCCAUCCCCAAGAAGCGACCUUCUGUCAGCCACGCAGGGCCGGUUGAAAAACAGGCAUCCCCUGUUGUGCAGGCAACACAUCACACACCUGUACACUGCAAGGAAUGCCAGUGUUUCGAGACUGGCCGGAAUGAAGAAGUGCGUAAUUGUUUGGUGGCGUGUACAAUACGUAACUCAUCGUUCGUUUGACAGUGUUGUACCGUCGUAUUGUUAUUUGUGGGUCUCCCUUUCAAAAUGGCACCGAGAUUGAAGGUGUCUUGACGUGUAAUCUGUAGGAUAAUAUUAAAUUGAAUCAUACAGCA